AGGGAAAGACUGGUUAUAUGAAUUGGAUCUGUUAGUGUCACAAUUGACUGUACUCUGGCUAUCUAAUAUCAAUUAUCAAACUACAAAACACCAAGGCUUACUACUUCUAUCUUAAUUCAAGACAUAAUCCAUUCUACGACUAUCAAUUCAACAAUACUUUAAUAUUCUUAUUAGUUCAUCUCCCUCUUACUCUCUUUCGAUUGUCAUAUAUUCAAUUACUGAUCUCCAGCUUACUUAUUAUAUUUAGUUUCUCAAUUCAUCACACAAAAUUUAAUAUCUUCACUUAACACAACAUAAUUUGAUAAUUUCAAUUCUCAAGGUCACAAAUUUUCUCCAAAACGAUCAAUCCAAAAUUAUAUUCCACAAUAUUCUAAUCACAGUUUCAA
rnacentral:lncRNA from 1 species